UUCUCCCUGUUUCAUUUCACCUUCUGAGUCCAUCCAACGUUCUCUAAUAUCAAUUGAAUUUUUCCUUUAACGUCUUGAACACUGACGUAUCUCGUCUUUCCAAUCUGGAGCAUGUUGUCAUCUCUGCUGCUGCUGCUCUGCUUGGAGGAUGCCAGCGCUCUAGAAGGCUCACCAGGCUGCUGCUGCUUCACGGGUUUCUCUGGAACCACUUGCUUUUUCCUCUUUAACUUUUUUUGAACUUCCCUGUCCAAAUCACUGCCUGAAGAGCUUGAAGAAACAAGUUCCUUUAAUUUAGGCAUUGCUCUGCUCCAGCCUACCAACAGCCUCUAGCUCGCUCGCUCCAGACUGUGACUCUUAAACUGGUGUUUCAGAUGUCAUUAAUGCGUAGUAAAAUUAGACUAUGCCUUUGACUUACUUUGGCUUCUUUUACUAGUUUAGCCCUAAUCUUUGUUUUAUUUAGGUAACAGUACAAUGUUGGCUUGUAUUUCUUCUUUAGCCGAAUGGAUUUUAUGUAUAUUGUGCAUGUGUUUGCUUUUUGGUGUGCUAGGCAGUGAGCCCAGGGUCCGGCAAAUACUAGCAAAGAACUAUACCCUAACUCUAAAACUUUAUCACCACUACCAGCAGUUUCCUUGGUCAUGAAUAUAGAAGGAAGGGUUAGCUUGCAACUUAAAUAGAGUACAUUUGUUUCCAAAUACUGCUUUUUUAAAAUCAGAACUUUAUCAUUUUAUUACUUGCUGUUUUAUUUUUCAAAAAUACAACAUAAUAUUCUUUAACGUAGAUACUUAAAUUAUUUUUUAGUAUUUUUAACUGUAAUGUGUUUAGAUUCAUAAAUUCUCUUCUCUAUGCUUUAUGGUUUUGUUUUUGUUUUUUUUUUUUUUUACAUUUAUCUACUUAGUGUGAGUGGAUGUGGAUACCUGUGUGUGUGGCAUGGCAUUUGUGUGGGGAUCAGAAGACAGAUUUGUCGAGGUUGGUUCCUUCCUUCUAACAUGUGGGUCUUGGGGGUCAAACUCAGGUUCUAGGGUUACCACCAUAUGCCUUUACUUUGUGGGCCAUCUCUCUGGCUCCUAGACUUCAAAUUUUCUUCAAGACUAUAAACAUAGCUGCCCAAUCACAUGUAAUUUUUGUCAGAUGGACACUUGAAUUUUUAAUUUUCAGUACUGAAUUUCUCAUUUUUAGCUCUUGGGUCAUAUUCAUUUACGUAGUAAAAUUCACCAUUGUCUUUUUAAAUAAAGACUUAUGGUGGAUGUGGGUGUACACGCAGAAGGGGGCUUUAUCUGACUCCUUGAAGUUAAAGGGGUUUGAGUAACCUGAUGUGGGGGCUGAAAUCUGAAUUCAAGUUCUCUAAUAGUUCAUCACUGAGAUAUCUUGCCCCUCCGCCCAGUGUAUAAUAAAUCCUUUAUUCUAAUAAAGAUCUACCUUCCUGUUCCCUGGUUUCUUCUCUUGUCUUUAGUAAUUGUUUACUUUGUUCUUUUUAUGUUUCUGAUAAAUUUUUUAUGUAACACUGAACAUUCUACCGUUUUAAUAAUGAUACAGGCUUAGGUUAUUUUUUAUCUUUGUGUUGUUGAGAGGUCAAACCCAGGAUGUUCUGUUUAUCAAGCAAGCAUUCUACCAUUGAGCUACAUUCUGAACCUGUUAUAGGGACUUAGAGGUAUUUCCCUCUGUAGAGGGUUCAGUCUUCUCUGGUGGGCAAACUAAAUGGGGAUUAAACACUUCCGUCCAAGGAAGGGCUGUGCUAAUUGAGGGCUAGACCACAGUUGGAUGUGACUUCUUUACCUAUUACUAGGAGUGAAGCUAUAUAUGUGUGUGCACGCUUAGGUUCUUGGAUCUCUAACUAGAGAUCUUAAGGGUUUCAUUCAGGAAAUGUUUUAAGAGGAAAAUCAUUGUUAAAGUGUGAAUAUAAAUUAUCUCCUGCAGACUCAAUACAUAGAAGCCUAGUCCCCAGCAGAUAGCACUUUGCUCAGAGGUGCUGGGAACUUUAGUAAAUGGGGCCUCACUAGGGUUCUACAUGGUAUUUUGUCCCUGGCCUCUUUUCCCCUUUUUUGUUUGCCUGCCUCUUCUUUCAUACCAUUUCCCCUUUCUGGUCAUUUAGGAUCCCAUCCUGUCUAAUCCUUUUUAUUUACUCGUCUGCCUCCUUCCUUUACUCUCCUUCCUCACUCUCACUGGAGAGUGAUCACACUGAAAUCUCAGAAAUGGGGCCAGAAUACAUCUUCCCUGCUUGUAAAUUGUUCUGCCAGGUACUGGGUUGCAGUUCUGAGGAAAACUAACUGAUGCCAUAAGUCAGGUGACUUUUUUUCCUUCAGAUUUCUGACCUCCUAUUCCUACUAUUCCUUGGUUUUUCAAGUCCCAGAUUUUGUCUCUCGCUCUAUAACUCUUCUAAGGGCUCAACUGGAUUACUCCUAGCUGCUUGCCCUGAUCUCACAGUGCUGACUUAUCACUUCAUUACUUCCUCUCCUGAAUCAUCGUUCAGGACCUGGUUGCCACAGCAGUAUUGUAACUUUUAAAAAGCACAUUCAGUGUUUUGAAAUUUAGUGUGUGUGUGUGUAUGUUAUGUUAAAUC
rnacentral:lncRNA from 1 species